UCUGCCUGCCUAGGCUUCCCAAAGUGCUGGGAUUACAGGUGUACGCCUAGCUAAUUUUUAAAUUUUUUUUGUAGGGAUGGUGUCUCACUAUGUGGCCCAGGCUGGUCUCAAAUUCCUGGCCUCAAGUGAUCCUCUCAUCUUGGCCUCUCAAAGAACCAGGGUUACAGGUGUGAGCCACUGCACCCAGCCAUCACCACGCCUUUCAGCAUACUACAGCUCCAGCCAGGAAUACCCUUCUAAUUCUCCAUUUUGUUUUUCUGGUCCUGAAUCCACUGUGUUUUCCACUGGAGCCCCGCACCUUCUGACUCUUUAGCACAGUUAGGGCCAUGUCAUUGUGAUGCCUUGAACAUUGCUGGUGCUCUUAUUUUGCCCGUCUCCUCCAGUUCUGCUCUUUACAUGCUUGUUUUCUACUCCUUUUUUUUUUU
rnacentral:lncRNA from 1 species